AAGAAAUACAGGACUAUAUGCUGAGUGUUGGUUAUAACUGAGGGCUGUUCUUCCAAGUCAAAGCAGCUUAUUUGCUUUAGAAGCUCCUAGACUGUCUCCUAGCAAGGGUCUUUUUGGACAUGUGUGUUCAUGGCUGGUUCCUCAUGUGUUUCUGGCGCACGCAUUAGAAAGUUAACGUUUGAAAGGAGUGUACAUAGCAGAGCAGUUAUAUGUUGGCCUUGGGAAUUACACUGUUGGCUUAAUAGUAUGAGUGAGGCCGUUUUCUCGAUUUGUUUCAAAUAAAUUCAGUGUCUUUUUCUGGUCUCCAACAGAUUUGUUUAAAAGAAAAAAAAACAAAGAGGAUUUGUUAAAACCAUUCCUCCUUUUCAGGAAUGUUGGGAGAUAAAGCUACAUCGACAAAGUGGUUUGUCACUCUGCCAGCACACUUUAAGUGGGCAGAAAAUGGGGGUGCCUGGGUGGCUCAGUCGGUUGGGCAACCGACUUCAGCUCAGGUCAUGAUCUCACGGCCUGUGGGUUUGAGCCCUGCAUCAGGCUCUGUGCGGACAGCUCAGAGCCUGGAGCCUGCUUUGGAUUCUGUGUCUCCCUCUUUCUUUGCCUCCCCCACUCACACUCUGUCUCUCUCUCAAAAAAAUAAACAUUAAAAAAAAAGGUAGAAAAUGAUCAUACUGUAAAUAAAAUAAAACACAGAAUCACUGCUUCCCCCCCACCCCCAACUUUUAGGAUUUUUUUUUUUCUCCUAUAUAAUACAUCUGUUAGGCAAUUUGUGACCUUUCAUAGCUCUAAAUGAUAACCUUAAAUUGUUUACAUCAUACUUAUAAAGAGACAUUCGCCCCAUUUUCUCUUAGAGAAACUGACAGCGUAAAUAGAGAGGGAAGAAUAAAAUAUAUGUAUGUUUAAUAUGGAUUUUGGCCUUUUACAUAGCAAUUCCAUUCUGAUUGCAGAUGAUAGUGUUAUUCACCAGUUGUUUUUUUAGCAUCUGACGCAUAGUUAAUAUCCCUGUUAUCAUUUUUUUUAAUGUUUUUUAACGUUUAUUCAUUUUUGAGAGACCGAGCAUGAGUGGGGGAGUGGCAGAGAGAGAGGGAGACACAGAAUCUGAAGCAGGCUCCAGGCUCUGAGCUGUCAGUACAGAGCCCGAUGCGGGGCUCGAACCCAUGAACUGUGAGAUCGUGACCUGAGCCGAAGUUGGGCACCCCAUCCCUGUUAUCAUUUAUGCCCUUGUUGAGGCUCCCCAGGAUUUUGGUUGCAAGGAAUCUCUGGAAAUAGCUUAUAAACCCUUUGAUUCCAGAGGUAUAGUAGCCAAUAUUUGUGUUUCCUUCAUUGCACUUAAUUUGAUCCCACACCCAAGAGCUACUUAGCGCAUUUUUGUUGUAAAAAAUAACUUUUGUAUUCAUUUGGACGUGUUCUUGAAUGCUUACCAUUCCAACGUGUGCAGUCGGCCCUCCUUGCUUUUUUCUUGCUCAAUUCUUUCCACCCUUCAGAAUCCAGUUUGACUUCCUCUUUGUAGCUUGCUCUGUUCUUCCAGCUCAGGGGCGUUCUCUGCCCUUCGGAAAUUUGGAACUUGGGGUUCACAACAGCAUAGUCAAUGAUUCUUUUCCCAGCUAAUUUGCAAUCUUUGUAUGGGCAGGGCAUAGCUCUUACCUUCAUUUUUUAUCCCUUUCAGUGCUGGCUGGCCAUAUAAUUGGUACUUGGUAAACAACUGGAGAUUAAGGGGGUGAUUUGUUAUUUUGCUAAAUUCAAGAAAGAGGGGGUGAAAUUCAUGUUGAAAACAAAAGGAUUGGUUGGACUUGGAGCGAAUAAAGUGUGUUCCCAGCUUGCUUAGAGACUAGUGGUUGAUAAUGGUAGCUAACAUUAGUGAGGGUUUGCUCUGUCCAGGCAGCAUGCUAAAUUCUUUAAGGGCAUUAUUUCAGCUAGUCCUAUCCUUCAUUCUCCUAACCCAUAAAACCAGACAUAAUAAUUCUACUUCACAAGGUUAGAGGAUUGCUUGUGAUAAUGUGGCACAGUGCUUGGCGCUCAGAAAGUGCUCAGUAAAUAGUAGUAGUUGUGGUUGUAGAUUUUGUUGUUCUGUCCAGUGUCAUAAUGAAGAACUGGUACUUUAACGUGCAAUUGUGUUAACUGACCUUGAACCUGGCUCUUUGUAGUCUGUUCUCAUUCUUAGAUUUCCCAAAAGCAUAGCUUUCCUCUUCCUAAAUUCUUCCAUGCUGGAGGUGCUUGAAUCUCAUUUAUCCUUGACCUUUGUUAUUUCUCAUGUCUGUGUCUUUGUCUCUAUUUUCACCUAGAAACCACCCCCACCCCCCAGCCCCCACCCUGAUGGUCUUCUAUACCUCUUCAAUUGACUGAGGGCAAGAAUUUCCAGACUUUUUUCCUCCUUUUUCAUCCCCAGUGCUGCUAGAACACUCUUUCUAAAACACAGAUUUGUUCUCUUAAUCUUCUGUUUAGAAUUUGGCCUUAGACUUCCAUUCUGGGUCAAGUAUAAACCCCUUAGUGCUUCAUGGCCCACAGGGUCCUACCUGACCUCAGUGACCUGCUCUUCUCUCCUUGUCCAUUUGCUGCUAAGUGUAUGUGACCACUCGAUGCCUUCCUACCCGGUGAAGUCUUGUUCUUCUUUCAUGUUCCGGCUUGGGUGUCUUUUCUGGAAACUUCGACACUCCUGCAAGAGACUUGAUCAUUCCAUCUUUUGUGCCACUGCCAUGCCCAGGAUGAGCUGUUACUGCACUGGGCUGAUUCAGGACAGCUUGGGUGUCCCUUUCUGUGUCACCAGCAUCUAGCACUGUGCUAGCUCCCAGCUCUACAAAUGCCAACUGAUGACUGGGGACAAAAGAGCACAUCUCAGGAAUUCUUUCAAUACUGGUGAUAACCAGAAAUCAAGGCUUCAAACCAAGUGUCUUUUUAGACUAGUGAUCUGGAACUAGUCUGGAUUUCUGGAACAGAAAUUGAGAUUUUAUUCAAUUUUUGGAAUGUCAGUUGGCUCCAUACUUCGAAGUGGUGAGUAGUUCUUAUUUCAUUUUGAAUUUAAUAUUCUUGUUUUUAGCAAAUCAGUAUUAAAAUAUUUAAUUAUACCUAUAACGCAAUCUGUAGUUCUCUCAAUGUUUACAUGCUCAUCACUAGCAGAGACAGCAGCAGGGUUAGCCACAACUAGUCAGGAUGUUAGCAAAAGGCCAUGCCCGUACAUUUUCCUUUUAGAGGGUAAACUCUCUGUUUUUACCAAAUUGAAAGAGUUUCUAGUUCAAAGAACACAUGGUAGUACUACCUUUCCUGCCCCCUUACUCCUGUGCUGAUUGUCUCACUUCCUGGCAGAGACAUUGUGCCUGAGUGUUUGCAUGGUAAACCUAGAUCUCUUCUUGUGAGUUGUUUGGAAGACGAUGCUAGCACAUUUGCGAGGUUGACAGGCUGCUGAACUGGUAGCAUCCCCCUCCCCCCACCCAGGGGCAGGUGUUUAUCCCCUUUGACAGAUGGGGGAAGGACAAGUGAAGUGACUUGAUCGAGGUCACGUCACUAGUAAAUGGGAGUGUUAGGUUUCAACCCAGGUCUGUCUGGCCCCAAACUCAUGUUCUAACCAAUCAUGUGAUGCUGUCUGUUGAAAGACUUCCUCAAUUUACUGCUUCAAUGGAAAUGAGUUGAUGUUUUGUAUUUAGCUUCUGGCAUGAAAUUAGCUUUCUAGAUGUGGGAGUGUCGCUCCUCGCCUGGUUGGACAGCAUGAAAGCACAGUUGACGGAAGUUGGGAUGUGGCAGGGGAGGGGGGGGGCGCGGUAUUCUCAUCUAACGAGAAGUCCAGAGACGUUGUCUGUGUUUAAGCAACGAGAACUAAAGAGCCAACAGCAUUGUUCACUGAGAGGGAGCCUAAACCAGAUCCGAAAGUGAUGGUAGACGUUUGGCGAUGGGGCAGGGCCUUACUCACUGUGAGUCUGAAAGGAGGGGACUUGGAGCCCCCUCUCUGCUCCCUGUUUUUAUUACAUUUGCCUUCCAUGCUUGUGGUCUUUCCUUCAAGUUCUCCAUUGGGUUAAACACAGUGUGUUUCCUCUUGAAAGGACAGCCUGCUAAUGUCCCCUUGUAGAGCUAGGGACAGAAUUCUCUUUGAGCUGAUUCUGUUCCACUAAUUUAAAGUUUUCUAGGGUGCCUGGGUGGCUCAGUCGGUUAAGUGUCUGACUCUUGGUUUUGGCUCAGGUCAUGAUCUCACAGUUCCAUGAGUUCCAGCCCAGCAUCGGGCUCUGCACUGAUGAUGCGGAGCCUGCUUGGGAUUCUCUCUCACCCUCUCUCUCUCUGUCUCUUUCUCUCUCAAAAUAAAUAAACUUAAAAAAAAAAAAGUAGAAGAAAAAGGUUUCCAAACAACCUAGAUUAAAAACAUCAGAGAAUUAUCAGACUGUAAAACUUUUGCUCCUGAAGGACAUGGAAUAUUAUCUUACUGUUUGGGCAGCUUGGGCUGCCGUAACAAAAUAACGCAGACUGGGCGCUUAAACAACAGAAAUGUUUUUGUUCUUUGUGUUUUUUGUUUGUUUUUUUAUAGUUAUGGAGGCUAGGAAUCCAAAGUCAACUUACCAGCAUUGUUGGUUUCCGGUGAGGACUCUUUCUGGCUUGUACAAAGCUGCUUUCCCCCUGUGUCUUCACGUGGCCUUUCCUCUGGGUUCACACUGAGAGACAGCAGUUUUCUGGUGACUCCUCUUGUGAAUACACCUGUCGGAUUAGAGCCCUAACUGGCUGACCCUUCCUGAAGACCCCAUCUCUAACUUCUGGACGCCACCUGCACACCUCAGCAAUAAUCAGGUGUUAGCAAAGACCUGGAGUAGCUGCAGCUACAACUCUCCCGUGCUGCUUGGUGGAGUGUGAAACAGGAGAACCGUUUUGGGAAACUGGCCGUUUCUAAUAAAGUUAAACACCCACCUGCCCAGUGACCCAGUGAUUCUCUUUCAACAUAUACCCAGUAAAAUGGGCAUAUGUCCACAGAAAGUCUAGUACAAGAAUGUUUGCAGCGGCUUUGUUCAUAACAAUCUCAAACCGGAAACAACCCAAAUGUUCAUCAAUAAGAGGAUGGAUAAAGACAUACUGCUACGCGUAACGCAAUGUGGUGGUAAAAAAAGAAAGAGCUGCCAGUAUAUGCAAGAGCACAGGCCGGUCUCAGGAGCAUCAUGUUAAGGAAGAAGAAUCAGGAGAGAGAACAAUCCUUAGUGGUUCCAGUAGUAUGAAGUGAAAUUAAUCCACAAUAAUACAGAUCGGGAUGCUGAUUGCUUUGAAGAAGGGAGGGAUUGUCACCCAAGAGGCAAGAGGGAACUUUAUGGGAUGAUGAAAAUGUGUAUUGAUCCUGCUGGUAAUUAUGAGGUUGUAGAGCCAUAGUGUUAAGAUUGGUGCAUAUUAUUGUGAAAAUUGUGUCUGUUAAAAGGUGUUGUGGGUUUUUUUUUUAUAAGGAAGAAUUUUUUUAUAAGUUAGGACCUCUCUGCUCCCUAAAUGUUUGGUAAACCUUUAUGAAACUGCCUGAGGUUGGUGUCUCCCUCAUCCCCCAUCCUGACCUUCUUGCCUAGGAAGCAGGGAUAGGGAUGACUUUUUAUUAUCAAUUUAGUUUCUUUAAUACUUGUUGUGAUAUUCAGGACCAUUUCUUUUCAAGGUAGAUUUGGCAAUUUAUGUUUUCUAAGAGAAUUUUUUAAAAUUUAGUUAACACACGGUACAAUAUUGGUUUCAGGAGUCAAAUUCAGUGAUUGAUCACUUACAACACCCAGUGCUCAUCACAACAAGUGCCCUCCUUAGUACCCAUCACCCAUCUAAGCCCAUCCCCCACCCCAUCCCACCAUCAACCCCCAGUUUGUUCUGUAUCCUUAAAAGCCUCUUGUGGUUUGUUUCCCUCUCUUCUCUCUUUCGCCCCUUGCCAUGUGUUCAUCUGAUUUGUUUCUUAAAUUCCACACAUGAGUGAAAUCAUAGGGUAUUUGUCUUUCUCUAUUUGACUCGUCCUGCUUAGCAUAGUGCAUUCCAGCUCUAUCCAUGUUGCAAAUGGCAAGAUUUCAUUCUUUUCAAUUGCUGAGUAAUAUUCCAUUGUAUAUAUUUUUACCACCUCUUCUUUAUCCAUUCAUCAGCUGGUAGACAUUUGGGGUCUUUUCAUAGUUUGGCCAUUGUUGAUAAUGCUGCUAUAAAUAUUGAGCUGCAUGUACCCCUUCAAAUCUGUAUUUUUGUAUCCUUUGGGUAAAUACCUAGUAGUGCGAUUGCUGGAUCAUAGUGUAUUUCUAUUUUUAGUUUUUUGAGGAGUCUCCAUACUGUUCUCCAGAGUGGCUGCACCAGUUUGCAUUCCCACCAACAGCGCAAGAGGGUUCCCUUGAGAAAAUUAUUUUCACCUAAGUUCUCAAAUUUAUUUGGCACAAAUGUUAUUGGUAACAUUUUCUUGCUAUUUUUACAAUUGCAACUGUGAUAUUUUUAAUUUAGAAUAUUAUUUGUGUGUGUCUUUUAUUUUUAUUAGACUUGUAAAAGAUUUUUGUUUUAUUAAACUUUUCAAUGAACCAG